AAUUAAAAAAUUUAUUUUAAUAUUUUGUUUUAAUUUUUUUAAUAAAAAUAAUUUUAUUAAUAAUUUUUUUUAGUAUAUUUUAUAGAAAAAAUUUAAUUAAUUAUAGUGUAUUAGUAUUGUAAAAGAAAAUUGAAAUAAUAUUAUAAUUAUUAAUAAGUAAAAUUUAUUUUUUGUACCUUGUGUAUCAGGGUUUAUUAAAUAAAAAUUAAUUAUAUUAAUUUUCUCGAUUUUAAGAGAGCUAAUAAAUUAAUUUUUUUUAUUGUAAAAAAAAUAUUUAUAAUAAUUUAUUAGUAAUGAAAUGUUAUUCGUUCUUAAAUAUAUCUAGUUUAUUUAGAAAUGAAUUUAAUUCAGAUAUUUUAAUUUUAAUAAUUUAAUUUUUUAAAUUAUUAAAUUUUAAUAUUAAUAAUUAAAGGGAUUAGCUUUUAAUUAAAAAUUUAUAAAUUAAGAAAUUAGUUUAAAAAAUGUAAGUUUAGAAAUAGCUAUCAUUUAUAGUUUGUUAUAAUUAAUUUAUUAAAAUAUAUUAUUUUAUAUAAUUUUAAAUUUUUUAUAAAUAAAUAAUUUUUAAUUUUUUUAAAAUUUAGAUAUAAUGAUAGAAUUAGUAUAUAAUUUGAAUAUUUAAAUAAUAAUAUAUAAAAGAUUAUUUAAAGGAAUUCGGCAAAUAUUUUACUCGCCUGUUUAACAAAAACAUGUCUUUUUGAAAUAUAUAUAAAGUCUAACCUGCCCACUGAAAAUUUUUAAAUGGCUGCAGUAAUUUGACUGUACAAAGGUAGCAUAAUCAUUAGUUUUUUAAUUAAAAGCUUGUAUGAAAGGUUGGACGAAGUAAAAUCUGUCUCUAUUUAAUUUAUUAUAAAAUUUAAUUUUUAAGUUAAAAAGCUUAAAUAUAUAUAAAAGACGAGAAGACCCUAUAGAGCUUUAUAUUUUUAUUAAUAUAAUUAAUUAAGAUUUAUUUAAGUUUUAUUUUAUAAAAAUAUUUUAUUGGGGUAAUAAAAAGAUUAAAAAAAUUCUUUUUAAAUAUUAACAUUAAUUUAUGAUUUUUAAUGAUCCAGUUUUAUUGAUUAUAAGAUUAAGUUACCUUAGGGAUAACAGCGUAAUUUUUUUAGAGAGUUCAUAUCGAUAAAAAAGAAGUUUGCGACCUCGAUGUUGGAUUAAAGAUUAGUUUAGGUGUAGAAGUUUAAAUUUUUGGUCUGUUCGACCAUUAAAUCUUUACAUGAUCUGAGUUCAGACCGGUGUAAGCCAGGUCGGUUUCUAUCUUUAUAAAAUUAAAAUAUUUUAGUACGAAAGGACCAAAUAUUUAAUAUAUUUAUAUUUAUAUUUUGAAUAUUAUUAUU
rnacentral:rRNA from 1 species